UACGUAGGGUGCAAGCGUUGUCCGGAAUUAUUGGGCGUAAAGAGCUCGUAGGCGGUUUAUCGCGUCUGCUGUGAAAACUCGGGGCUUAACUCCGGGCCUGCAGUGGGUACGGGCAGACUAGAGUGCGGUAGGGGAGACUGGAAUUCCUGGUGUAGCGGUGAAAUGCGCAGAUAUCAGGAGGAACACCGGUGGCGAAGGCGGAUCUCUGGGCCGAUACUGACGCUGAGGAGCGAAAGCGUGGGGAGCGAACAGG
rnacentral:rRNA from 1 species